CCUGCAUGAAGUCGGAAUUGCUAGUAAUCGCGGAUCAGCAUGCCGCGGUGAGUACGUUCCCGGGCCUUGUACACACCGCCCGUCACACCAUGGGAGUCGGUAACACCCGAAGCCGAUAGUCUAACGAAAGAGGACGCAGUCGAAGGUGGGAUUGAUGACUGGGGUGAAGUCGUAACAAGGUACC
rnacentral:rRNA from 1 species